rnacentral:rRNA from 1 species
CAGUCGCCGCGGGAACACGGAGGGUGCAAGCGUUAUCCGGAUUUAUUGGGUUUAAAGGGUCCGUAGGCGGACUUAUAAGUCAGUGGUGAAAGCCUGUCGCUUAACGAUAGAACUGCCAUUGAUACUGUAAGUCUUGAGUAUAUUUGAGGUAGCUGGAAUAAGUAGUGUAGCGGUGAAAUGCAUAGAUAUUACUUAGAACACCAAUUGCGAAGGCAGGUUACCAAGAUAUAACUGACGCUGAGGGACGAAAGCGUGGGUAGCGAACAGGAUUAGAUACCCCAGUAGUCCCUGUCUCUUAUAC